rnacentral:rRNA from 1 species
UGGGGAAUAUUGCACAAUGGGCGCAAGCCUGAUGCAGCCAUGCCGCGUGUGUGAAGAAGGCCUUCGGGUUGUAAAGCACUUUCAGCGAGGAGGAAGGUGGUGAGCUUAAUACGCUCAUCAAUUGACGUUACUCGCAGAAGAAGCACCGGCUAACUCCGUGCCAGCAGCCGCGGUAAUACGAAGGGUGCAAGCGUUAAUCGGAAUUACUGGGCGUAAAGCGCACGCAGGCGGUUUGUUAAGUCAGAUGUGAAAUCCCCGGGCUCAACCUGGGAACUGCAUUUGAAACUGGCAAGCUAGAGUCUCGUAGAGGGGGGUAGAANNUUUCGCGGUGGCGGCGAAAUGCGUAGAGAUCUGGAGGAAUACCGGUGGCGAAGGCGGCCCCCUGGACGAAGACUGACGCUCAGGUGCGAAAGCGUGGGGAGCAAACAGGAUUAGAUACCCUGGUAGUCCACGCUGUAAACGAUGUCGAUUUGGAGGUUGUGCCCUUGAGGCGUGGCUUCCGGAGCUAACGCGUUAAAUCGACCGCCUGGGGAGUACGGCCGCAAGGUUA